rnacentral:rRNA from 1 species
CGCAAGGCCUGGCGCUUGGAGAUGAGCCCGCGUCCGAUUAGCUAGUUGGCGGGGUAAUGGCCCACCAAGGCUCCGAUCGGUAGCCGGCCUGAGAGGGCGGACGGCCACACUGGGACUGAGACACGGCCCAGACUCCUACGGGAGGCAGCAGUGGGGAAUUUUUCGCAAUGGGGGAAACCCUGACGAAGCAACGCCGCGUGGAGGAUGAA